GUGGCUACUCAGCUACCCCGAGAGUUCAUUAGGGCUUUCUUUCCCAGAGAAAAUGUCAACUUCUGCCAUGGAACCCCAGUCCCUUGAUGAGAGAGGAAGUUUUUUUAAGCAAAGCUUUUCGACAAUGGAUCAGAUGCUUGAUAAAACUGACAACAUGUUCCUGUGAAGUUGUAAAACAAGAAGGAGCUGCAAUGGAUGUUUCUGAAAUAAAUUUGACAGAGGGCUUAGAUGCAAU
rnacentral:lncRNA from 1 species